rnacentral:rRNA from 5 species
GGGUUGUGAGGUUAAGCGACUAAGCGUACACGGUGGAUGCCCUGGCAGUCAGAGGCGAUGAAGGACGUGCUAAUCUGCGAUAAGCGCCGGUAAGGUGAUAUGAACCGUUAUAACCGGCGAUUUCCGAAUGGGGAAACCCAGUGUGAUUCGUCACACUAUCAUUAACUGAAUCCAUAGGUUAAUGAGGCGAACCGGGGGAACUGAAACAUCUAAGUACCCCGAGGAAAAGAAAUCAACCGAGAUUCCCCCAGUAGCGGCGAGCGAACGGGGAGGAGCCCAGAGCCUGAAUCAGCAUGUGUGUUAGUGGAAGCGUCUGGAAAGGCGCGCGAUACAGGGUGACAGCCCCGUACACAAAAGCGCAUGUGCUGUGAGCUCGAUGAGUAGGGCGGGACACGUGGUAUCCUGUCUGAAUAUGGGGGGACCAUCCUCCAAGGCUAAAUACUCCUGACUGACCGAUAGUGAACCAGUACCGUGAGGGAAAGGCGAAAAGAACCCCGGCGAGGGGAGUGAAAAAGAACCUGAAACCGUGUACGUACAAGCAGUGGGAGCACCCUUCGGGGUGUGACUGCGUACCUUUUGUAUAAUGGGUCAGCGACUUAUAUUCUGUAGCAAGGUUAACCGUAUAGGGGAGCCGGAGGGAAACCGAGUCUUAACCGGGCGUUAAGUUGCAGGGUAUAGACCCGAAACCCGGUGAUCUAGCCAUGGGCAGGUUGAAGGUUGGGUAACACUAACUGGAGGACCGAACCGACUAAUGUUGAAAAAUUAGCGGAUGACCUGUGGCUGGGGGUGAAAGGCCAAUCAAACCGGGAGAUAGCUGGUUCUCCCCGAAAGCUAUUUAGGUAGCGCCUCGUGAAUUCAUCUCCGGGGGUAGAGCACUGUUUCGGCUAGGGGGCCAUCCCGGCUUACCAACCCGAUGCAAACUGCGAAUACCGGAGAAUGUUAUCACGGGAGACACACGGCGGGUGCUAACGUCCGUCGUGAAGAGGGAAACAACCCAGACCGCCAGCUAAGGUCCCAAAGUCAUGGUUAAGUGGGAAACGAUGUGGGAAGGCCCAGACAGCCAGGAUGUUGGCUUAGAAGCAGCCAUCAUUUAAAGAAAGCGUAAUAGCUCACUGGUCGAGUCGGCCUGCGCGGAAGAUGUAACGGGGCUAAACCAUGCACCGAAGCUGCGGCAGCGAACGUAUCACCCAAGACAACUUUACGGAGUUGACGAUUGACGGAGCGAAGCGACGUCAAAGCGUUCAUUAAAGUCGAGUUGGCUUAGGGAUACGUUCGUUGGGUAGGGGAGCGUUCUGUAAGCCUGUGAAGGUGUGUCGUGAGGCAUGCUGGAGGUAUCAGAAGUGCGAAUGCUGACAUAAGUAACGAUAAAGCGGGUGAAAAGCCCGCUCGCCGGAAGACCAAGGGUUCCUGUCCAACGUUAAUCGGGGCAGGGUGAGUCGACCCCUAAGGCGAGGCCGAAAGGCGUAGUCGAUGGGAAACGGGUUAAUAUUCCCGUACUUGGUGUUACUGCGAAGGGGGGACGGAGAAGGCUAUGUUGGCCGGGCGACGGUUGUCCCGGUUUAAGCGUGUAGGUGUGUGUUCCAGGUAAAUCCGGUUCACUUUAACACUGAGGCGUGACGACGAGGCACUACGGUGCUGAAGCAACAAAUGCCCUGCUUCCAGGAAAAGCCUCUAAGCAUCAGGUAACACGAAAUCGUACCCCAAACCGACACAGGUGGUCAGGUAGAGAAUACCAAGGCGCUUGAGAGAACUCGGGUGAAGGAACUAGGCAAAAUGGUGCCGUAACUUCGGGAGAAGGCACGCUGACACGUAGGUGAAGUGAUUUACUCAUGGAGCUGAAGUCAGUCGAAGAUACCAGCUGGCUGCAACUGUUUAUUAAAAACACAGCACUGUGCAAACACGAAAGUGGACGUAUACGGUGUGACGCCUGCCCGGUGCCGGAAGGUUAAUUGAUGGGGUCAGCGCAAGCGAAGCUCCUGAUCGAAGCCCCGGUAAACGGCGGCCGUAACUAUAACGGUCCUAAGGUAGCGAAAUUCCUUGUCGGGUAAGUUCCGACCUGCACGAAUGGCGUAAUGAUGGCCAGGCUGUCUCCACCCGAGACUCAGUGAAAUUGAACUCGCUGUGAAGAUGCAGUGUACCCGCGGCAAGACGGAAAGACCCCGUGAACCUUUACUAUAGCUUGACACUGAACAUUGAGCCUUGAUGUGUAGGAUAGGUGGGAGGCUUUGAAGUGUGGACGCCAGUCUGCAUGGAGCCGACCUUGAAAUACCACCCUUUAAUGUUUGAUGUUCUAACGUGGACCCGUAAUCCGGGUUGCGGACAGUGUCUGGUGGGUAGUUUGACUGGGGCGGUCUCCUCCUAAAGAGUAACGGAGGAGCACGAAGGUUGGCUAAUCCUGGUCGGACAUCAGGAGGUUAGUGCAAUGGCAUAAGCCAGCUUGACUGCGAGCGUGACGGCGCGAGCAGGUGCGAAAGCAGGUCAUAGUGAUCCGGUGGUUCUGAAUGGAAGGGCCAUCGCUCAACGGAUAAAAGGUACUCCGGGGAUAACAGGCUGAUACCGCCCAAGAGUUCAUAUCGACGGCGGUGUUUGGCACCUCGAUGUCGGCUCAUCACAUCCUGGGGCUGAAGUAGGUCCCAAGGGUAUGGCUGUUCGCCAUUUAAAGUGGUACGCGAGCUGGGUUUAGAACGUCGUGAGACAGUUCGGUCCCUAUCUGCCGUGGGCGCUGGAGAACUGAGGGGGGCUGCUCCUAGUACGAGAGGACCGGAGUGGACGCAUCACUGGUGUUCGGGUUGUCAUGCCAAUGGCACUGCCCGGUAGCUAAAUGCGGAAGAGAUAAGUGCUGAAAGCAUCUAAGCACGAAACUUGCCCCGAGAUGAGUUCUCCCUGAGACUUAGAGUCUCCUGAAGGAACGUUGAAGACGACGACGUUGAUAGGCCGGGUGUGUAAGCGCAGCGAUGCGUUGAGCUAACCGGUACUAAUGAACCGUGAGGCUUAACCUUACAACGCCGAAG